rnacentral:lncRNA from 1 species
CUAAAUUGAGCUCUUUUCUCGUAAACCUAUUGAAGCGGUUUUCUGAAGAUAGUUCUCCGAGAACACUCUUCUUUUCUUAUUAUCAAGGAGAGGCAGCUUAUGUGGAAGCUCUUCAAGUCCCAUAAGCUUGGCGAUAAUGCUUUGUGUAUGCUGCUUCCCCUCCAUCUAAAUCAGGCACUCUGAUUACAACUGUUUUAGUUCUCCAAAUUAUAUAUUUUUACAAGUGCAUUUCUUCAAAAUAAGGCACCAAUUGAUGUCAUCUGCACAAAGACAUAUUACCAUUUUUAGGCAAAAAGAAAUGCAUACGUGGUUCAUUAACAACAUUUGAACCAGAAACAUCAUUUGAAAUGAAUUAAUCCCCUCAAAAAGAAAGAAAAAUAAAAAGAAGAAAACAGAAAAAGCCUUCAAUUUUUUAGUAGAAGAUAAGUGUUACACAUAUAAAGGAAAUAUAGCGCAAUCUAAAUUCUGAUUUACCUCCAUCAUAAUCG